UUGAACGCUGGCGGCAUGCCUUACACAUGCAAGUCGAACGGCAGCGCGGACUUCGGUCUGGCGGCGAGUGGCGAACGGGUGAGUAAUACAUCGGAACGUACCCUGUUGUGGGGGAUAACUAGUCGAAAGAUUAGCUAAUACCGCAUACGACCUGAGGGUGAAAGUGGGGGACCGCAAGGCCUCACGCAGCAGGAGCGGCCGAUGUCUGAUUAGCUAGUUGGUGGGGUAAAGGCCCACCAAGGCGACGAUCAGUAGCUGGUCUGAGAGGACGAUCAGCCACACUGGGACUGAGACACGGCCCAGACUCCUACGGGAGGCAGCAGUGGGGAAUUUUGGACAAUGGGGGCAACCCUGAUCCAGCAAUGCCGCGUGUGUGAAGAAGGCCUUCGGGUUGUAAAGCACUUUUGUCCGGAAAGAAAUCGCGCUGGUUAAUACCUGGCGUGGAUGACGGUACCGGAAGAAUAAGCACCGGCUAACUACGUGC
rnacentral:rRNA from 1 species